rnacentral:piRNA from 1 species
UCCUCGAAAGCCCGACUUGGCCUGACAUGC